rnacentral:rRNA from 1 species
UCUAAGCACAAGCCGAAUACGGUGAAACCGCGAAUGGCUCAUUACAACAGCCACUGUUUACUUGAUCUUGAUUAUCCUACUUGGAUAACUGUGGUAAUUCUAGAGCUAAUACAUGCAACCAAGCUCCGACCGUAAGGGACGAGCGCAUUUAUUAGAACAAAACCAAUCGGGCUUCGGCCUGAGGUUUGGUGAAUCUGAAUAACUGAGCUGAUCGCAUGGUCUUUGUACCGGCGACGCAUCUUUCAAGUGUCUGCCUUAUCAACUUUCGAUGGUAGUUUAUGUGCCUACCAUGGUUGUAACGGGUAACGGAGAAUAAGGGUUCGACUCCGGAGAGGGAGCCUGAGAAACGGCUACCACAUCCAAGGAAGGCAGCAGGCGCGCAAAUUACCCACUCUCGGCACGAGGAGGUAGUGACGAAAAAUAACGAGGCGGUUCUCUAAGAGGCCC